rnacentral:rRNA from 1 species
AGAGGGGGCAAGCGUUGUCCGGACUGACUGGGCGUAAAGCGCGCGCAGGCGGUGCGAGGCGUCGGUGCUGAAAGUCCACCGCUUAACGGUGGGAUGUGCGCCGAUACGCUCGCGCUGGAGGGCGGGCGAGGGUGGUGGAAUUGCCGGUGUAGUGGUGAAAUGCGUAGAGAUCGGCAGGAACACCAGUGGCGAAGGCGGCCACCUAGCCCGCACCUGACGCUGAGGCGCGACAGCGUGGGGAGCGAACUGGAUUAGAUACCCAGGUAGUCCACGCCGUAAACGAUGCCGACUCGGUCUUCGUGGGGCGAAUAGCCCUGGGGGGGCCCGAGCUCACGCGCUAAGUCGGCCGCCUGGGGACUACGAGCGCAAGCUUAAA